UACGGAAGGUGCAAGCGUUGUUCGGAUUGACUGGGCGUAAAGCGCACGUAGGCGGGUUUGUAAGUCGGAUGUGAAAGCCCCGGGCUUAACCUGGGAAUGGCACCCGAAACUGCGAAUCUUGAAUGUCUAAGGGGUUGGUGGAAUUCCAGGUGUAGGAGUGAAAUCCGUAGAUAUCUGGAGGAACAUCGGCGGCGAAGGCGGCCAACUGGUGGUGCAUUGACGCUGAGGUGCGAAAGCGUGGGGAGCAAACAGG
rnacentral:rRNA from 1 species